GCAGAGAACGUUGAAAUCAAAAAGGAUUCUGCUCUGUAGAGACAAAGGAGCCACAGAGACAUAGACGUGGAUCUGGGAAAUACACCUUUUGCUACUCAUUCAAUUUUAGAAAGGGGGUUUCUGGCAUGGCUGAGCAAAACUUAAACUUCUUCCCCUGAGAAUUACAGGAAUUACAGGACCUGACAAAGCUCUAAAGAUUAAAACCUAUAGGAAGAAAAUCGGAACCAGAAAUAAUACGGCAGACUUGGGCUCUGAUUCACAGAGGGAAGAACUUAUCAUUCUUCACGGGGCACAUAGAAGCAUGAGAAUUUGGGUUCAAGCAAGUAAAUUCUAAAUUAGAACCCAUACAUAAAGUGUUUGUAAUGUCCAGUUAUAUUUCUAUGAUAUUUUCUUUGUGAAAGUUGAUUGUUCUUCCUUACAAUAAAUUGCAUGAAUUGUCUGUCUCUUCAUUUAACUAUUUCUUUUUCUUGUCUUUGCUAUCUCUCUUUUUUUUUUUUUUGGUAAGUAAAAAAUUUUCAGGCACUAAAUAGCAGGGUAUUUUUUUUUGCUUUGUUUCUCCUAAGUUUUGUCUGACUUAUGACAUUAAUAAUUAUCCAAAAUCUCUGAUUUCUUAUCUUUUCUAUAGAAUGCUGGAAAAACGACAGCUCAAUAUGUACAUUACCCCAUCCCUAACCACCUUCGUCACUACUUUGAACACUCUUCUCUCACCCGACACUGCAGUUAAAUAUGACUGGAAUCCUUGUUUCUAUAGUAAACCAAUCUACUUUAUUUUAUGGAUAAUUAAUGUAAAAAAUUAGACUCUGGGCUUCCUUCAGGUUUUCUUAGGUUUUUCCCACUGGCGUAUAAUGAAAAAUUCAAAAAGGGCCUCUUAGGUAACAGAGACAAGUUUGCAGAUUUUUUUUAUUAAAUUUCUUUAGAAAAGACAAGGUUUCUGUGACCUCCUUUUUUUUGAGACAACGAAAGUGACAAGACAAGAUCUUAAAUAAUAAAGUUAAAGCCAUCGGUAAAGGCAAAAGUCAAAGACGUGAAACAUCUGUGAGAACACACGUAAAAGCUAGUGGGGAUAUCUUGAAGAACAGAGCUCAGUUUCGCAUCAAAGGUCAAACCAACUGAACACCAAGGCUUGAUGCCAGCCAGAGUCUUGCUGUGUAGAGGCUAGUUGCUUUCUGCACGGACACUGAUUCUUGCUUUAAAGAUUACUUGUUAACUCACUAAACACACCCAGCCCAGCUACCUGCAUCAUUCCUUUGUCAAGGUUCCCAUCUACCUGGCCCAGCUGCAGAUGAAGGUCAGUUUCUCAGGGUAUUUUACCCCUCCCCACUUCUUCUCUUUUCCAAAUCACUAUUCUGAAUUUACAGUUGGCCAAUGACCUCUAACUGGAUUAAUAAAAUGUCUAAUUUAGUUUGGAACAUUGAGCUUCUGUUUCACUUUGGCUUGUUCAGGUUUUUAUUAAAUCAGAAUAAAUUUUCAUAGUCCCUAUGGAAAUGCCAGCCUUCUCCACUAAGCUGGCAAAACAUUUCCGUUUCCAAAGAAGUAUGAAAACCUGUUUCCAGCCAGGCAUGGUGGCUCACACCUGUAAUCCCAGCACCUUGGAAGGCUGAGGCCGGCGGAUCACGAGGUCAGGAGAUCGAGACCAUCCUGGCCAACACGGUGAAACCCCGUCUCUACUAAAAAUACAAAAAAUUAGCUGGGCGUGGUGGCAUGUGCCUGUAAUCCCAGCUACUAGGGAGGCUGAGGCAGGAGACUCACUUGAACCAGGAAGGCAGAGGUUGCAGUUAGCCAAGAUUGCGCCACUGCACUCCAGUCUGUCGACAGUAUGAGACUCCAUCUCAAACAUCCCCCUCAAGCCCCACUCCCCAAUAAAAAAAAAAAAAAAAAA
rnacentral:lncRNA from 1 species